GACAUCCAGAGAACUUAGCAGAGAUGCUUUGGUGCCGUUCGGGAACUCUGAGACAGGUGCUGCAUGGCUGUCGUCAGCUCGUGUUGUGAAAUGUUGGGUUAAGUCCCGNAACGAGCGCAACCCUUAUCCUUUGUUGCCAGCGAUUCGGUCGGGAACUCAAAGGAGACUGCCGGUGAUAAACCGGAGGAAGGUGGGGAUGACGUCAAGUCAUCAUGGCCCUUACGGCCAGGGCUACACACGUGCUACAAUGGCGCAUACAAAGAGAAGCGACCUCGCGAGAGCAAGCGGACCUCAUAAAGUGCGUCGUAGUCCGGAUUGGAGUCUGCAACUCGACUCCAUGAAGUCGGAAUCGCUAGUAAUCGUAGAUCAGAAUGCUACGGUGAAUACGUUCCCGGGCCUUGUACACACCGCCCGUCACACCAUGGGAGUGGGUUGCAAAAGAAGUAGGUAGCUUAACCUUCGGGAGGGCGCUUACCACUUUGUGAUUCAUGACUGGGGUGAAGUCGUAACAAGGUAGGCGUACGUGU
rnacentral:rRNA from 1 species